UAAGACCUGUAGAAUACUAACCUACAUCCUCUGAAUGCAACUCAGAUACUUUUAUUAAGCUAAAGCCUU
rnacentral:tRNA from 1 species